AAUCAACGCUGGCGGCGUGCCUAACACAUGCAAGUCGCACGAGAAAGGGUCUUCGGAUCUGAGUAAAGUGGCGCACGGGUGAGUAACACGUGAAUUAUCUACCUUCGAGGGGGGAAUAACUUCGGGAAACCGAGGCUAAUACCGCCUAAUAUCUACGGAUCAAAGCAGUAAUGCGCUUGAAGAGGAGUUCGCGGCAGAUGAGUUAGUUGGCGGGGUAAUGGCCCACCAAGACGAUGAUCUGUAUCCGGCCUGGGAGGGCGGACGGACACACUGGAACUGAAACACGGUCCAGACUCCUACGGGAGGCAGCAGUGGGGAAUUUUGCGCAAUGGGGAAACCCUGACGCAGCAACGCCGCGUGGAGGAUGAAGUCUCUUGGGACGUAAACUCCUUUCGAUAGGGAGGAUUAUGACGGUACCUAUAGAAGAAGCCCCGGCUAACUUCGUGCCAGCCGCCGCGGUAA
rnacentral:rRNA from 1 species